CUCCCUCCGCGCCAUCAGAUAUACGCGAGACACUGACGACAUGGUUCUACAGAAACCAGGAUUAGAUACCUAUUAUAUUUAAUCUUAAACACAAAAGAAUUGAUUACUAAAAAAUAAUUUUUUAUUAAACUCAAAGAAUUUGGCGGUAUUUUAAUCUAAUUAGAGGAACUUGUUUUAUAAUCGAUAACCCCGUUAAAUCUCUCUUAUUUUAAAUAGCCUGUAUACCGUCAUUAUUAAAUAAUUUUUAUUGAAUAAAUUAUUGUAAAUAAAUUAUUUUAAAUAUAUUAGAUCAAGGUGCAGUUAAUAAAUAAGAAAAAUGAGUUACAAUAAUAAUUUAUUUAAACGAAUUAUGUUUUUAAAAAAUAUAUAAAGGAGGAUUUAAUUGUAAAUAAAAUAAAAAAUUGAUAUUAGCUAUAAAAUAU
rnacentral:rRNA from 1 species